rnacentral:lncRNA from 1 species
CAAAUCAUUUCCCUUUUGUGUAGUUUUAAAUAAAGUUGUAUAAAUCUAUGUGAGAUUAAAAAAAAAAAUUGCUUUUGAAUCCUGGGAGAAUGAGUUCUUACAGACUCUUGUAAUUCUGAGAGAUCAUCUUUUUGUUUGUCAGAUAUUUGUAGAAACCAGGAGGUGAAACAAAGCAACGGUUCAGGCAACCACAGAGAUUUGCAUGGAUGAUCACAUAAACUAGGCCGAAGCUAUCUGGAUUUUUCUCCCUGUACACAGCUUUAAGAUGGAAUUCCUCAUGCAUUGUGAUGAGUGGCUUUGCAGAGAAAUGGGAAAAUGUCAUUCAAUUUCCAUGGUUGUAAAGAAAAUUAAAAGUUGCCAGUUAAGAUGGUUUUGCUGCCUGGAGGAAGAUACAUUUUUAAUAAUGGAAUUGUGGACAUCAUUAGUUUGAGGGUCACCUUUGAGCAAAUAAUUAAAGGGGGUUCUCCUUUUGGAAGAUGUAGGUAGGCUCUUAGGAGCAAGGCUGGGCCAUCAGUUAUCAUUUGUGUGCGAAAGAUGUGUUUCAUUCUGCAAGUAGAGAGAUAUAACCUUGCAUACCUUGUUACCUUAUGUCUAUUGUAUAUGGUGAACCUGAAUCUCAGAAGCCUUUAUGGCACAGUUGAAUUUCUUUCAUAG